rnacentral:rRNA from 1 species
CGUGCCUCGGCAGGCAGCCCUGUGGGACAGAGCCUCGCCCCCCGCUGGGGGGGUGCCUGCCGCUGGCCGACCAAAAACUCUAGCUGUUUAGUACCAUCUGAGUCUUCCACAAAUGAACAAAACUUUCAACAACGGAUCUCUUGGUUCUGGCAUCGAUGAAGAACGCAGCGAAAUGCGAUAAGUAAUGUGAAUUGCAGAAUUCAGUGAAUCAUCGAAUCUUUGAACGCACAUUGCGCCCGCCAGCACUCUGGCGGGCAUGCCUGUUCGAGCGUCAUUUCAACCCCUCAAGCACAGCUUGGUGUUGGGGCACUGCGUCUCCCGCAGGCCCCCAAAUCCAGUGGCGGACGCGCCAGGUCCCCGAGCGCAGUAGUCUCUUCUCGCUCCGGGCGGCCGGCGUGGGCUUGCCUCGCCCCAUCUCCACAAGGUUGACCUCGGAUCAGGUAGGAAUACCCGCUGAACUUAAGCAUAUCAAUAAGCGGAGG